rnacentral:lncRNA from 1 species
CUCCACCCAUAUAGAAUUAUUAGCAUUGUGCAUGCUGAUAAGUCCAUUCAUGUGAGUUACUUAGCUCCCAAAUAGUUUUAUUCAUCACUUGUAUCCCAUGUAUUUUUAGUUAUGUUUAGAUGUUUUUAAAGUAAUUUGUUAUUUUUUAGUAUUGAACACACUUGGUGCUUUAUCUUUGUACUUUUACUUUGUUUUUAGUGUGCAAGUUUAGCAAUUUGGAUGAACACUAUCACAAUGGUCAUGUGAGACUAAUUCUCAGUAGUCAGCAGACUUUUGCCACAAGAAAUUGGUUACAAUUGAGACUUUUGUGCUGACACUAAUUUGAAGAAGAUUCUAGAGGAAUGAAUUAGGGCUGAGUUAUCACGCUAAUGGAUAAUGAUGGACAAAAGCUACCAAAAUUUGCAAAACCUGUAACAAUGCUGCUAAAGGAUCACGCCGUCUCCCAUGUACACUCUUACCACCCUAAUAAUACAUGUAUUAUAAAAAGGAAUAUGCUUUACUCCUUGUGCCAUGGUUAAUAUAUAAUUUUCAAAGGCCCAAGGAUCGAAAAAUAAGACAAUUUUACAAGUAAUAAAUCUUUCUAUAAAUGGACUCGAAAUUUCUACUGAAGAGAGGUUCAAAAGAUAAAAAUCAUGCAGAUAAAGAAGGAGAGAAACAUUGAGUUCCAUCAUCCAUUCCACCACCCUCGUGAGUUUUGAAGAAAUACAAUGCUAGGAGGCACGCCACCCAUGGUCAAUUGCUGUUGACAAAUUUUAAGUGAUUGAAGUGAUUUUAUAUGGUUUACCAUUUAUAUUCUUAUUGUUUAUAAAGGUUAAACUUAGGAUCUUAGCUUGUUGUAUCUACUUUUCUCAGUAUGAGUUAACUUAUUUUUUUGGAUAAUGCGAAGUUUAAUGAAAGUAGUAUUUUAUUGAAUGCUUAUGAAUUUGUUGUUGUGAUAUUUUUA